UACGUAGGGUGCAAGCGUUAAUCGGAAUUAUUGGGCGUAAAGAGCUCGUAGGCGGCUUGUCACGUCGGGUGUGAAAGACCGGGGCUUAACUCCGGUUCUGCAUUCGAUACGGGCUAGCUAGAGUUCGGUAGGGGAGUCUGGAAUUCCUGGUGUAGCGGUGAAAUGCGCAGAUAUCAGGAGGAACACCGGUGGCGAAGGCGGGACUCUGGGCCGAUACUGACGCUGAGGAGCGAAAGCGUGGGGAGCGAACAGG
rnacentral:rRNA from 1 species